rnacentral:tRNA from 1 species
GCCCGGUCGAGUGGUUGAGACGUCGCUUGCGAAGCAUAAGGUCGUGAGUUCGAAUCCCAUAAGGGCC